rnacentral:lncRNA from 1 species
GGGCCAUUCUAGUUUGCCAUGCGAUUUGUCCUGUCUGUUGUGUCUGUCCUUAUGUUUUAACUGUUUGUAUCUGUUUCUGUUCACCCCAUGGGUCAACAACUAACCACCUCCAUCCCCAACUGUGAUCGGCAGAUGUCCCUGGAGGAUCACAGACUGCUGCCCUGAGGACACCCAGGAGGUAUGGACAGAGGCCAAGGACACUUGGACCUUCCUCAGUUAGCGGCGAUUGUAGCCGCCUGGUUCUGUUGCCCAUCUGCCCGGCGCCAUUGCCUUAUAAGCGGUGUGGAUGGAUUGGGUUGGUGUCUGUUCUUUUCUGUCUAUUCUGUCUCUGUGUGUUUGCAUCAUUGGUUUUCAAUUCAGGAUCCACCAGGACACCCCCUUUCAUUGAGUCAUGUGGCGCCACACUAGGUAACUUUCUUUUUUUCUGUCUUUGUUUCUGUACGGUUUCUGUGAAGCCUGGAGGGUUGGAACAGGCUGUGUGACUGGGCAGUUGAGCAGGUUUGUUAUCUGUGUUAUCUGAUCUGUUUCAAUCCACACCCUGCUUGCAUGCUUUUCAGUGCUGUGUCAGUUUUGUGUUUUCAGGUCUGCUGUUUCUGUUAAUUUUGUAAAUGUAAAAGUCCUAUGUUGAGGUUGCUAGUGACAUCUGUAAGUAGGCCUACAAGAAUUGUUUAGGGCAGACGUUCGGGUGACAGUUUCUGCAAUCUAUAGGAGGGGUACUUGGUGGAACCAAGUUGCCAGCUCCAUCUGUAAGGGGACUCAGGCGGGUCACCAAUCUGUAGGGGAGACUUGGUGUUGGACCAAGUUGAUCUCCAUGGGGCUAGCCAUCUGAAAUUCCAAAUAGGACCCUAGUCUGUGUUACUGUGCUGUCUGUCCAAGUUUCAUAUUUGUGCUGUGUGCUUGUUAAGCAUCUCUUUCUGUCCCUACUGCCCACACAAGUGGCAUGUAUGGGUCAGGGGUCUUUUCUUGCCCUGAGCACGUGGCAUGCAGGAUAGGAGUUCCUGUGCCAUGUGCCAUGGAUUAGAGUGUGCUGCAGCAGAGUCAUCUGAGGCUGCUAAUCUGAACUCCAACCACUGCUGCGGCCCUCACAGCUGAGCCUGGCUGGUGCUGGUGAGUCUGUCAUUCCAUCCUCACCUGCCGGUCUGUGAGUCAUGUGAAGUGGGGCUCUCUCUGCCCCAACUGCCAUCUUGCUGUGGGUCCUGGCUUGCUGCGGGAGUUUCCCCGCUGUUUGCCUGGCUGCCUGGCCUUCUCUGUGCUCCACACACGUGGUAUGCAGGGAAACUGCGGGGGUCUUUUUCCCACCCCUGCAUUGGCUGAGGGUCUGGGAUUACCAGCAGCACCGCCCCCCCCCCCAGGUCUCUGCCCUGAGCACAUGGAGCUGGGGCAGGUGAACCAUCUGGCCUGCUCCAGACGUCUAAAGAAAUGGCCUUAAAGUUAUUAAAAACUAUAAAAAGGACUUUGAUAAGAGUUUUUAUGUUGACUGAAAAAUAAGAGAAAAUAUAGGAGACUAAAAUAAUAAAGAGGGAAAGGAAAAGAAAAAUUUGUCUAAGAAUGUCUAAGGAAAUAAUAGGAAUAAACUAAAGGUAUAUAGAAAGUUAUAGAGGGUCAAAGCAAGUUGUAGUAGGUCAGAGGAAAGUUGUCAAAGGUCAGAGGAAAGGUUGUUAAACGUCAGAGAAAAAUGUAAACUGUUUGUUAUGGUUUCUCAUGUCUACAAAUAAUAAAUUUUAAAAAUUGUUAACAUAAGUUAAAAUGUUAACCAUAUUAAGCUAAUUCUGUUUUAAAAGUUCUGUUUAUUUCUCAAGUAAAUUAUGUAUGCUUGUUUUAAAAUGUUCUGUUUCCUGGCAUAACCUAAGUUCUGUUACAAGCAUACAGCUAAAACAAAUGGUGCAGGUUAUCGCCAUUUUGUAUCCAGUCACAUGGCAAGCUGGUCACAUGGCUGACUGGUAGCCAUCUUGCUUAAGUUAAAACAGAUACUUGAACCGCCAUCUUGACUAAAGGUGACUGCAUGGAAAUUAGAGGUACCAUCUUAGAAACAAGUUUUUCAAUUAGAUUUAAAAUGUUAAUGCUUCUACAUAUUACAGAAAGACAUUAAGGGAAUUUAAAUUUCUUUUUAAAACCAGUUUUUUAAAUGUUUAUGUUUUUUUUAGAUGUUUCUAUUAAUGUUUGUACUUAAAGAGCUUCAAUUUAGAAUCAUUUUUAAGCAAAGCCUGACAAUGUAAAGUUCUUUUAUAAAAGCUGCUAAUCUAUUAUAAGAUGUUACAGUUUAUGUUUUCAGAAGUUAAGUUUAGGGCAUUGGUGGCACACACCUUUAAUCCCAACACUGGGGAGGCAGAGGCAGGUGGAUCUUUGUGAGUUCAAGGCCAGCCUGGUCAACAGAGCCACAGAGAAACCCUGUCUCAGAAAGAAGUUAAGUUUAAGCAAGCAGCUAAAAUAUGUACAUAAAGCUACUGUUUAAGAAAUAUAAGGUAACUCUAUGCAGUUUUAAAUUCAGCUGUACUAAGUUUCAAAUAUUUUACCAAGUUAAAACCAGUUACAAUUAGACUAAAAAUUAAUUAAUUACAGAAAUAAGACCUUACCUAGCCACCUGUUUGCUUAAUGUGUGCUUAAGGCAAGUAACUAAACAGACAGAUCUCUAAUGCUUCAGAGACCUGCAGAAUAUAGCAUUUAAAAGGUUGUUUUAAAAGUUUAUAAUAUCAGGCAGACUGCCAGAUCCUGACAGUGACCCAAAGUCUCCAAAGAAGAUUAUGAGGCACUCCAGUUCCUGCACCUGGAUGAUGAUGACGCUGACCAAUGAGCAAGAUGCUCAAAUGUGAUACCAGCUGCCUGUCAGGACCUGGCCUAGAUUGUGGACAAAGCUGCUGGACACUGGAAAAUUAAUUUCAUCCCCUUUGCCUAGACAAAACAAGGCACAUCUGAGUAUCAGUUGCUGACUACAGGCUGUUCCUAAGUAGACUGAGAGCCCUGGACUUGCUGUGGAUGUGAACCAGUCCAGCUGAUGUGGACACCCCUGUCUCUGUAACAGAGUCUGCUAACCAGAAGCUCCUGAUGGAUUCCCCAUUGCCUAAAUUCCCUUUUUGCUUUUGACUAGCAUUUCAGCCUGCUUGGGUCCCUAAUUUCAUCCCAAAGUCAGCAGUAAGUAGCAUGGGAAAGAAUAUGUCACCCAUUUUCCCUGGUUGAAAUGCUAAGUCAGAAGGAACUCCCUUACAUGGGGAUGCCAAUAUCUCUCACUCCCUGAUGGGGACGCUGGAGAGACAGCAAAUCCAUGAUUGGAAUCUCAAAAAAAUGGGGGAAUGAAGGGACCAGCUCCCCAUUUUGGCAGCCAUAACAGCUGAACACAUGCUUGUCUGACCUUGUCUUGGUCACUAGGACAUCAGAUGCCUGCCUCAUGGCAAGGAACCAAUCAGAAGUUAGCUGGUGGUGCUAUGCUUUACGACUCUGGGUGUGCUUUACAGACAAGUGCACAGCAAUGACAUGCAGAGCAUAGCAACUACCCUGGGAGGGCCUAUGGGCCAUAACAACCAGUUGACUAAUCAACACAGGGCAAACCCUCCAAGCCUGGAGGCACACCAACCCUGAGCCUGUGCGUGCCCCUAGACACUCCCCUUAUGCUGCCCUAUAAGAUCUCUAUGCAGAUGGUUGGAGCCGUCUUUCCUAGCCAUCUGCCAUGUUGGAUGGAUGAAAGACCUGAGCUAACAUGGUGUUAGCUCGUUGAACAACUACAAUAAAGCCUCAUGCUGUUUGCAUCAAGUUUCUGCCUCCGCAUGGUGGGUGGCCAAAGUCCUGGACUGAGAUCCUGGGUCCCUGCGCUUCCAGGGGUCUUUCUGUGAUACUGGAAUUCCUUUCAUUACUAUUAACUGAGUUCACAAUGGAUGAGCUUGUAAGGCUGGCUCCCAGACUCUAUUUCCUAUAAUCAAAACAGCUCAGCUUUUUUUCCUCUUUUUAUUUUCCUUGUAAAUAAAAUAUUCUUAAGAAAUUUUGAGGGAGGCAUAUUUUGAGACAGAGCCUCAGCAUAUAGCCCAGGGUGACCUCUAACUCAUGACCCUCCUGCCUCAACCUCCUAAAUUCAGAAAUUAGGCAUACAUUAGCACAACCAGUUUAAACACCAUUUUAAUUAAUUCAUCUUUAUUCUGUAUACCCUUCAUGGGUAGACAGUGGAAUAAGGUUUUGGAUUUGUCAUGUAGUCUUCACUGUCAAAAUCAACUAAAAAAAACAACUUGUGUUCCCAAAAUUUGUGGUGGAUUUCUCUCCAACAAGCAAACAAGCAUUCUGCAGCAGACACUAGUUUAGUUGUGUAUCUUCUAAUCCAAUUUAGUUAUCAUACUACCUGCCUGGAGAUAAUUUCAGGUCACACAGGGUGAGGGUUCAGUCCCCUUUCACUUCAGAUGUCAGGCAACUGGUCAUAAAUGAAGCUCACUAUAAUCCCUCAUCUUGUUCAAUUAACUUGUUUCAGUGGUUUACAGGCUCAUAAACAUAUUUUGAUGAAGGGUAAUGUGAAGAGAUGAUAGACCAAAGUAUUGGAAAGGGGUAUGGAAAGUCUAUGCUUUCUCUAGGCACACAAAGUUCAGCAGUCUGGAUGUUCUCCAGAUCACAUUCUUUUGGAGUCUAUGGAAAAUUCAUUGCAUAGGCUCAACUGAAAACAGAUUGGAGGAAGAAACCUAAAGAGGCCUGUCCAGAUUCUUUAGCAUCUCUUCCCCAUGGGCCUGGGGCAAGGUCUGAAAUUAAAAUGGUCUAAUGACCAACUGUUACACCAAGAAGAUCAGACUGUCUUUUUAUGACCUGCCCUAAAAACAAUAGGAUAAGAUCAGGGUAUAUUUUUACUCUCCGUGGUUUUCCUUGUUGGACUGAAAUUCUAGUGUCUCUGGUCUGCCUUGGGGAGUAAAAUGAGCAAAUGGAAAGGUGGGAGAAGGAGAGACAGAGGGAGGAAAGGAGUGUGAGGAGCCGCACUCACAUUCGCCAUUACAAGAUGGCACUGACAUCCACUGCCGGAUCAAGUAAACAACGUUGGUAUCCAUGUGCUCAGUGUUUUUCCACUGCCUAGCCCCGCCUAUUCCAUGGCGUCAUAUAGGGUGAUGAGUCAUUCACCUAUCCCAGCUGUACACGCAUCGCUCAGAGUUUGCGAGCCUUUAUUAGGGGACAGGAUUCUUGGCUCGGGGUAUCCGCUCUGGUAAGCUUAUGCUCUCCUCUCAAGACGCAUUAAAGCUUUACUGCAGAAGGAUCCGAAUGUCCUAUGUGGUUCUUGCCGGCAAGACUAUCGCGCGGGACAUCUGGUGCCGAAACCCGGGAACUUGUUAACAUCGCCGGCACCGCGGAGACCCCUCGGACGGGGCAGAUUCAGAACUGCAGGGUGGUAAAUUCGGAGAGGUAUGUCUUUUCUGGACUUUGGCUUGGGAUUGUUGAUCUUUUUCACUGUUGUAGCAAUCUUGAAGAAGUCCAGAAUUACAUGUCAGAAACCGAAUGUAGUGAGAGAUGGGGCGUGCCCAACAAUAAAAUAUAAGGAAAAAGGACCUCCCGGGGUGUCUAGUGACAAGGGAGUGUGUGUAAGAAGAGAAACAGCAACGAAUAAGGAAAAAGGACCUCCCGGGAUGUCUAAUGACAAGGGAGUGAGUAAUUUGUUAGAUGAUUCUGUAAAUAAGUUUAAAGCUUUAAAUCUUGAUAGCUCUGAUGACUCUGAAAGCUCAAGAGAUAAAGUUUUAGAGGAAACAGCUCAGCUAGGUGAAAAAGAAACAAAAAAGGAGGGAGAGAAAAUAGGGGAUAACCGGUCACACCCCGGUAAAUUUAAGAGACCUGUUAAUCCAGCGGGUGUACUUCCAUCAGCACCCCCAUUAUUUGGUACCGACUCCUUUUUACCAUUAGAGGAGUGGAGAAAAUUGCAGAUGGCUUCCCCAGUCUUUGACAGGGGAAAAGGCCGUGCAUGUUAUUCAACACUUCUUGGAGGCCUGGAAUGCCUGGGGAAAGCCUCAUAUAACGUGCCCAUCGCAUGCUUAAGUCUUAUUUAAUCAAACAAAAGGAGGGAAUGGGAGCAUCCUUACCCUCGGUGCCAAGAGUUGCAAUAUCCAUGGCACUUUUUACCCUUAAUUUUCUAAACAUUGACGCUCAGGGCCAUACUGCGGCCAAGCGUCACACCUCAGAACCUAAAAGGCCAAAGGAAAUGGUAAAAGAUAUCUUAACUGGUCUUUGGAGAGGCCCGGAUCCUAUUCUCAUAAGAUCCAGGGGAGCUAUAUGUGUUUUUCCACAGGAUGAAGAGAAUCCCCUGUGGAUCCCGGAAAGACUCACCCGAAGAGCCCCUUCGGACCCUCAAAAGUCGGAACUCCAUCUUCUCCCCGGGAGUUGAGAGCCGCUAUUAUCCAGAUUAACUCCUGUCCUUUACGGAGAGAUUGUCAUCAUGGAUCACUUCAGCUGUCUCCUAUUUUUAGGAUUGGGUGGGGGUGGGACUUUUUGGCACAAUUCUCUGCAGUGGUGUGGUGUUUAUGCUUGGGACUGUGUGUAGACUCAAAACCCAAACAAAAAAGGUAAGGUAGUGGUUGCACAGGCACUGGCUGCCCUAGAGAAUGGAAUCUCCCCCGGCAUUUGGCUAAGCAUGUUGAGGCAAUAGGUCGCCGACUGCUCAGCUCCUGCACCUCCGGAGGCUUGACCUCAUUGCACGGAAUAGAGUGAGCAAGGUUCGGCAGGUCAAAAGAGUUGUAAGGCUAAGCACUGCACAGAAAGGGCCUGCGGCUUUUCUUGUGGCUCUUCUGAGAGAUAUGUCAUCUUGCAUGAAGGUUAUAUGUCAUAAUGCCCUUCCCCCAGAAAAAGACAUAAGGACGGGUCUGGGCCUGCUCUGGACACAGAGUCUGGAGUCCUGCUCAAGACAAGGUCUGCAUCCAGUUUUGGGGAGUUGACCUCUAUCUCCACUCUGCAUUUGGCUGGCCUAUAGCCUCUGUGUUUCUAUAUAAUUAUAUAGGGGGAGAUGUGAGGAGCCGCACUCACAUUCGCCAUUACAAGAUGGCGCUGACAUCCGCUGCCGGAUCAAGUAAACAACGUUGGUAUCCAUGUGCUCAGUGUUUUUCCACUGCCUAGCCCCGCCUAUUCCAUGGCGUCAUAUAGGGUGACGAGUCAUUCACCUAUCCCAGCUGUACACGCAUCGCUCAGAGUUUGCGAGCCUUUAUUAGGGGACAGGAUUCUUGGCUCGGGGUAUCCGCUCUGGUAAGCUUAUGCUCUCCUCUCAAGACGCAUUAAAGCUUUACUGCAGAAGGAUCCGAAUGUCCUAUGUGGUUCUUGCCGGCAAGACUAUCGCUCGGACAAAGGAGGAAAAGAGGAAGGGGAGAAAAUGAGGGAGAUAGGAAAAGACUGUUUUCUGAGGUUUGCUUUGGAGGUUGAAAAUGUGACUUAGACUUAGAAAAUAAGAAUUACAGGAGCAAUGAGCCAAGAAUCGCAGAUGAAAAUCAAAGUCUUUAUAUCAUUGUAUCACAGACACUCUGAGGAGCCUAAGAAAAAUAAAACCCUAAAAACUUGAAAGCACAUGAACUUCAAAUGCAUUGUUCUACACUUACAGAUCCAUCAAGAAAGGUUCAUUAAUGUCAAAUCACAACAGUCUGACACUCAGGUAACACCUGCUGCUUUCAUUUCUACUUCCUGAAUCUCAUGCAAGUGGAGACCAAGAGCCUAACAGAGAAGGUGAUUCUGAGUAGCAGGUUCAGGUUUAAACUAAGUUGACAAUUGCCAACACUAAAUCUGGAACUGCCCAAGUGUCCAUCAACAUAAGAAUGGCUAAAUAAAUAGUGAUAUAUUUGUGUAGUGAAUUUGACCAAACGGAAGAAAGAAUAAUCUUGCUUUGAGCAACAACAUAGAUAAAUCUCACCAAUGUGUAGUAUUGAGUAACAGGAAUCUCACAAAGAGAAUACAAACUCUACUUACAUUAAGCUUGGUAGAAGCAAAUAAAAUAGGUGAUGAUGAAGAAAUAGUGAUUACUCUGGUGGAGGAGAAUUGACUAGGAGACAAAAGACAAGCAAUGGGUAUUAUUCCAUGAAGGACUUGCAGCAAAGAGGAGAGUAUUUUUUCUUUUUACUAGAGAAUAUGUUUUACUUUGGCUGUGUGGUAGCUGUGUGAGUUUCAUAUGUGUAAAAAGCAAUGGAAUUGUAUGUUUAUGAUUUGUACACUUUGCUAUGUUAUAUCUAAUUGUAAAACUCUAUAAAAUCAAUAAAAAGACAUUUGCA